rnacentral:misc_RNA from 1 species
UAUUAUACCUGGAGGCGGAGGGGAGGAUGACGAGGAUGACAUAAAUCAGUUAUUCCUUCAUGUGGAUGUGUCAAAGCAUGGACAGCAAAAAUCUUUGCAUUUUCUUUGUGGUCUGUAUCCAGAUGCAUUAGGAAUUCACUCUGUUCAAUUGAGACCAAAGAUUGAUGACUCUGGGCUUCAUGAGGAUCCAUAUGGAUACAAUGGCCCUCAAUUUGGGGAACUUGAUGAAAAGAUGAGAGAUGCACUCCACAGUUACAUCGAAGAAAGAGGUGUGAAUGAGAGUCUCUUUAAUUUUCUCCAAGCAUGGCUAUAUGUGAAGGAGCAUCGGAACGUUAUGCGCUGGUUUAAAACAGUGGGGGGCUUCAUUAAUGAAAAUAAAUCAGCUAAAACUGUGUAACAGUGUUUUAAGGUGGGUUUAUAAAGGGGUUCAUGUACUGCUUCCUAGUUGGUGGUCUAUCUGCUUUUUGACUACCUGGCGAAUAUUAUGGGUUAAAUUAUAUUACUAUUUUCAAGUUAUAAAUGUUAGUAAUGUUUUAAUUUUCUGGUUCACAUUUAUGUGUUUACUUUUUUUUUUUUAAAAAAUCUCUGUAUUUAGCCAAGCGUAUUUUUCUUUAUAUGGGCAAUGAUGUGCUUUUUCCUCUAUCAUGUUCAAUACUGUUGUGAAAGG